AUUGAACGCUGGCGGCAGGCCUAACACAUGCAAGUCGAACGAGUGGCGGACGGGUGAGUAAUGUCUGGGAAACUGCCUGAUGGAGGGGGGUAACUACUGGAAACGGUAGCUAAUACCGCAUACCAUCAGAUGUGCCCAGAUGGGAUUAGCUAGUUGGUGGGGUAACGGCUUACCAAGGCGACGAUCCCUAGCUGGUCUGAGAGUAUGACCAUCAACAAGGUAACUGAGAUACGGUCCAGACUCCUACGGUAGGAAGCAUUGGGGAAUAUUGCACAAUGGGCGCAAGCCUGAUGAAGCCAGGCCGCGUGUAUGAAGAAGGCCUUCGGGUUGAAAAGUACUUUCAGCGGGGAGGCGUUACCCGCAGAAGAAGCACCGGCUAACUCCGUGCCAGCAGCCGCGGUAAUUC
rnacentral:rRNA from 1 species